AUGCUCGCUUUGGCAGCACAUACACUAAAAUUGGAACUAUACAGAGAUUAGCAUGGCCCCUGCACAAGGAUGACAUGCAAAUUCAUGAAGCAUUCCAUAUUUUU
rnacentral:snRNA from 1 species